CUUGAAGAUUGAGCCAUUAUCCAUCGAAAUUGGUUUGACAAACUUUUAAAAAGGAUAGCGACCUUUUUCCAUCUAUUUAUUUGUGUGUCUUCCAGAAUAUGUAAUAAAUAAUAAAAUGGACCUUUCACACUACAUGUAUAACUCCUAUAGUUGUAUGUUUACCUUGGAUGUAUUUUCCCUCAAGAUUAUCAACUGUGUGUUUGACAAGUGAAUAUUAAGUAAAUCUGUGACCAUUUUUUUUUUUUCUGAAGUUGAGCUCAGAAAGAAGCAGAUCCUGGCAAAGUCAGUUUUAAUGAAGAGAAGAUGGAGGAAAAAGCAGUGCCUGAGCGGGCACCGAAGGCACUCGAGGGCCCUGUCCUCUUUGG
rnacentral:lncRNA from 1 species